AUUGAACGCUGGCGGCAGGCCUAACACAUGCAAGUCGAGCGGAUGAAGGGAGCUUGCUCCUGGAUUCAGCGGCGGACGGGUGAGUAAUGCCUAGGAAUCUGCCUGGUAGUGGGGGAUAACGUCCGGAAACGGGCGCUAAUACCGCAUACGUCCUGAGGGAGAAAGUGGGGGAUCUUCGGACCUCACGCUAUCAGAUGAGCCUAGGUCGGAUUAGCUAGUUGGUGGGGUAAAGGCCUACCAAGGCGACGAUCCGUAACUGGUCUGAGAGGAUGAUCAGUCACACUGGAAGUGAGACACGGUCCAGACUCCUACGGGAGGCAGCAGUGGGGAAUAUUGGACAAUGGGCGAAAGCCUGAUCCAGCAAUGCCGCGUGUGUGAAGAAGGUCUUCGGAUUGUAAAGCACUUUAAGUUGGGAGGAAGGGCAGUAAGUUAAUACCUUGCUGUUUUGACGUUACCAACAGAAUAAGCACCGGCUAACUUCGUG
rnacentral:rRNA from 1 species